GCCCGGUGUGUGGGAUGAAUUGCAUCUCCAUUGGGGCCUGCCAUGCUGUCUGAUAAAGUGAGGAUUAUGAAACUCAGGAGGAGGAACGUAACAAUGGCUUCCUUUUCUUUAGGGGGAUAGAGGUCUGAAGGGAGAGAAAGGUGAACCAGGACUACCUGGGAAACCAGGCGAGACCGGACUAAGAGGUAAAGAUGGAGAAGCUGGUGUCCCUGGAGAACCAGGAGAGAGAGGAAUCAGGGGGCCACCUGGACUCCCAGGACGGCCUGGAGAGCAAGGGAUAAAAGGCGAUACAGGACCACCUGGAAAGGAUGUAAGGCAAUCCCAAAAGGAGCAGUGGAGAGAGGGAGAACUUGGGGCAGUGUAAUACCAAUCAAAGAAACAGCCAUCUUUUCUUCUGCCUCACAGCCUGCGAGGCACAGAAAAGUCCCUCCCUCUCUCCUGGGGAGGAGGGGGGUCUUCUCUUCAAAGGGAAGAUUAAGGCUGUGUCUCCCUUCUUCUUUGAUUAGCCAGAGCAGGGGAUUAGCAGGACUGUGACCUGGGGGGUUCUGAGUGUGCAAACCUUCCCCAGCCCCACACUGCUGGAAGUGAAAGGCUUCAUACUGUCUCUGUCUGGUGAGGAAGGAAGGAAAAUGAUGUUUUUAGGUUCUACCUCUCUGAUCUCCCUCUAACGGCUUUGGAAAACACUGGCUAAGACCAGCUGUAUCAUCAGAUGCCUCAAAGACAUGCUGUUGCUACAGACUUGGUGGAAAUGAGCAGCUGGCUAGGGGAAAGUCCCUAACGAGCCCACCUGCUGAGGAAGAGGCUAAUCAUCUCACCCCUUAUUAAAUAUCAGAGAACUCCCCCACAGGAGAGAAGUUGAAAUCCAGAUUUCAUUAGCUCAGCUGCUUGAAGAUGGGCUUGUUAGUCCGUCGGAUGCUGAGCUGGCAAGAAGAGGGGGUGGACUGCUGAGACCCCCUUCCCUUACCAUGGCUUGUUCUCAUCCUGCCUCUCUCUCCAUCUCCUAGGGAAUCACUGGAGAGAAGGGAGACAAGGGCGAAGCUGUAGGUUUGCACAUUCCCCUUUAUAACCUUGCAUGAGGGAAAGCCUGUUUGGGGGCUAAAAUGUUGAAUUGUGCCACUCACUAUUUCUUUUUUUUCUGGGGGGGUGGGGGUAUGGUGGUGUUUUAUCUUCACAGGGUGAGCCUGGGCUGCCUGGGACUCCUGGAAGCCUUGUGAGUAAUGCCUGGUUCUGUUGUCUUAUACAUUUGGGGAAGGGAUAUGCUGAGAUUUAUCAUGAAUCUCAUGAUAAAUUGU
rnacentral:lncRNA from 1 species